AUUGAACGCUGGCGGCAUGCUUUACACAUGCAAGUCGAACGGCAGCACGGGUGCUUGCACCUGGUGGCGAGUGGCGAACGGGUGAGUAAUACAUCGGAACGUGCCCUAUCGUGGGGGAUAACGCAGCGAAAGUUGCGCUAAUACCGCAUACGCCCUGAGGGGGAAAGCGGGGGACCGUAAGGCCUCGCGCGAUUGGAGCGGCCGAUGUCUGAUUAGCUUGUUGGUGAGGUAAAGGCUCACCAAGGCAACGAUCAGUAGCUGGUCUGAGAGGACGAUCAGCCAAACUGGGACUGAGAGACGGCCCAGACUCCUACGGGAGGCAGCAGUGGGGAAUUUUGGACAAUGGGGGCAACCCUGAUCCAGCAAUGCCGCGUGAGUGAAGAAUGCCGUCGGGUUGUAAAGCUCUUUUGUCAGGGAAGAAACAGCAGCUUUAAUACAGCAUGCGAAUGACGGUACCUGAAGAAUAAGCACCGGCUAACUACGUGCCAGCCGCCGCGGUAA
rnacentral:rRNA from 1 species